CAUUGCAAGAUUAAACUAGAGAAAUGCGUAUUUGGGCUAACACGCUAUUCGCUUGAAUGUUUAUAGUAGAAUUUUCUUGAUCUCCCAUGGACAAGUUUUGAUUCGAAAAAAACAAAAGAUAAAAGAUACCAGUGCAAUACAAGCUAAUUAUGCGGCUUUUGACAUAGCAACAAGGUACUCUUCAUAAAAAAGCAAAAUGUGUUUGCCCUUUACUUUUUUUUCUUAUCCAAUCAAACCAAGAGAAAAUCAUUAAUCAGAAUCUCAGUUAAAAAUUGAAACAGCUAAACACUUCUACUGUUACUGGAGACUUUUUUUUUUAAUCAUGCAUGAAGCACUUUAUAUCUUACAAUGCAAAGACUUUGGCUGUUGGCACUACAACAAACAAUCAAUUGGGAUUAAAGAAGUAUUAAGCACUUAUUAACAAACACUAUUACCAACCUUAACAAUCAUUCCAUAAGCUCUUGACUAAGCAACGAACGGAUGGGCCAAUCUAAGUUGCUAAGGUGUUCAUUAUUAUACAAUUUCCAUUUUGAUACAUUGUCUAGCCCAAUUUGAAUAACCUACAUUACAGAAUCCAGUAUGUAGGAACAGUGUUAUUAAAGGCGCUCGAG
rnacentral:misc_RNA from 1 species